rnacentral:rRNA from 1 species
UACAGAGGUCCCAAGCGUUGUUCGGAUUCACUGGGCGUAAAGGGUGCGUAGGUGGCCAGGUAAGUUUGGUGUGAAAGCUCGGAGCUUAACUCCGAAAAGUCAUUGAAUACUAUCUGGCUGGAGGGUCGGAGGGGAGACUGGAAUUCUCGGUGUAGCAGUGAAAUGCGUAGAUAUCGAGAGGAACACCAGUGGCGAAGGCGAGUCUCUGGACGACUCCUGACACUGAGGCACGAAAGCUAGGGGAGCAAACAGGAUUAGAUACCCCUA